GACGAACGCUGGCGGCGCGCCUAACACAUGCAAGUCGAACGAGCGAGCGAGAGCUUGCUUUCUCGAGCGAGUGGCGAACGGGUGAGUAACGCGUGAGGAACCUGCCUCAAAGAGGGGGACAACAGUUGGAAACGACUGCUAAUACCGCAUAAGCCCACGGUGCCGCAUGGCACAGAGGGAAAAGGAGCAAUCCGCUUUGAGAUGGCCUCGCGUCCGAUUAGCUAGUUGGUGAGGUAAUGGCCCACCAAGGCGACGAUCGGUAGCCGGACUGAGAGGUUGAACGGCCACAUUGGGAAUGAGACACGGCCCAGACUCCUACGGGAGGCAGCAGUGGGGAAUAUUGCACAAUGGGGGAAACCGUGAUGCAGCGACGCCGCGUGGAGGAAGAAGGUCUUCGGAUUGUAAACUCCUGUUGUUGGGGAAGAUAAUGACGGUACCCAACAAGGAAGUGACGGCUAACUACGUG
rnacentral:rRNA from 1 species